GUCAAUGUACAUGGCUCUGGAGUCGGAGUAUUGUCUACUUUUGAGGUACAGUGCAUUUUCAUCAUGCUAUUGAAUGGCUUUUGUUUUUGUUGCUUUUUUUUUUUGUUUGGUUAUUUGCUUUUUAGGCUUUGUUGUUGUUGUUGUUGUUAAAGUAGAUGUGCCUUUAAGCUUUGUUUACUCUUGGCAAUAAUAGAUCUUUUUGCUUUAAGGAAACAAAGCUUAUAAAAAAAUCUUACAAGUCGUUUUGGACGUCAAAUGGCUCUUACAAAUGAUUUAAUUAUAAGUUAAUCAAGAACAUGUGGAUUAUAUUUCUCUUCCUAAAUACUCAUUGGUUUAACAUUGCAGGCAAGCUCUUAGAGUGCUUCAGAAUAUUUGUUGUUACUUAUUGGCUUUCCAAAUAGGAAUGAAGUGAUGGAGAAAAUAAAAAUUCAGGCCAGGCACUGUGGCUCACACCCGUAAUCCUAGAACUUUUGGAGGCCAAGGUGGGCGGAUCACAAGGUCAGGAGAUCAAGACUAUCUUGGCCAACAUGGUGAAACCCCGGCUCCACUAAAAAUACAAAAAUUAACUGGACGUGGUGGCGUAUGCCUGUAUUCCUAGCUACUCGGUAGGCUGAGGCAGGAGAAUCACUUGAACCGGGGAGUCAGAGGUUGCAGUGAGCCGGAAUCACGCCACUGCACUCCAGCCUGGCGACAGAGAGACUCUGUCUCAAAAAAAAAAUAAAAAUAAAAAUAAAGAAAACAAAAUUUAGAUCCCUUUCUCCAAUCACCUCAAACUGUUAGAACAACAGUUUUUGUAUAAGCAUUCAUUCAUAGGCAGAAGUAGUAGUUAAUGGAACAAAAUUUGCCCAAUGACAUGCUCUAUUUAAAAACGUUCUUUUUGUUAGAGUGGUCAAAACUAUGACUUAUUCCUUUGUGAAGACAGCUGAACCUAGGGCUUUCUUGGUUAGCGUACAUCAUGGCAUUGCACAUUGGCACGUUUUUCAGUGAUAUUGACAUGCAUUGCUUAAAUGA
rnacentral:lncRNA from 1 species